rnacentral:lncRNA from 1 species
AGGUGAGGGUCUUGCUAUGUUACCCAGGCCGGAGUGUAGUGACUACUUACAGGCACAAUUAUAGUGCACUAGAGCCUUGAACUCCUGCCUCAGCCUCCUGAGUAGCUGGGACUACAGGAGUGUGCCAUCAUUCUUGGCAUAAUCCUCCUUUUAUGUUGAGUUGAAGAAAGUCACAAGACAUUGAGAUGUUUUAUGUUGCAGUUAAUGGUCUCUUCCUCCCUAUCCUCUUUUCCCACAAAUGGACAAUUGCUUCUCACAGGUUUUUGGCUGCCCACUUCAGCAUGCCUCCAGCAGUGUUCUAAAAUUACUCUACAAUUGCCUAAGAA